AUUGAACGCUGGCGGCAGGCUUAACACAUGCAAGUCGAGCGGGGGAAGGUAGCUUGCUACCGGACCUAGCGGCGGACGGGUGAGUAAUGCUUAGGAAUCUGCCUAUUAGUGGGGGACAACAUCUCGAAAGGGAUGCUAAUACCGCAUACGUCCUACGGGGGAAAGCAGGGGAUCUUCGGACCUUGCGCUAAUAGAUGAGCCUAAGUCAGAUUAGCUAGUUGGUGGGGUAAAGGCCUACCAAGGCGACGAUCUGUAGCGGGUCUGAGAGGAUGAUCCGGCACCCUGGGACUGAGACACGGCCCAGACUCCUACGGGAGGCAGCAGUGGGGAAUAUUGGACAAUGGGGGGAACCCUGAUCCAGCCAUGCCGCGUGUGUGAAGAAGGCCUUAUGGUUGUAAAGCACUUUAAGCGAGGAGGAGGCUACUUUAGUUAAUACCUAGAGAUAGUGGACGUUACUCGCAGAAUAAGCACCGGCUAACUCUGUGCCAGCAGCCGCGGUAA
rnacentral:rRNA from 1 species